GGAGUUUGGACCGUGUCUCAGUUCCAAUGUGGGGGACCUUCCUCUCAGAACCCCUACUGAUCGCAGGCUUGGUGGGCCGUUACCCCGCCAACAACCUAAUCAGACGCAUCCCCAUCCCAUAGCGGUGAACCUUUGGUAUUCUUCUGAUGUCAUCGAAAUACAACAUAGAGCAUUAAUCCGACUUUCGCCGGACUAUUCUCUACUAUGGGGAAGGUUGGAUACGCGUUACUCACCCGUGCGCCGGUCGCCAUCAAUACAAAGACAAGCUUCGAUCAUGCUGCCCCUCGACUUGCAUGUGUUAAGCCUGUAGCUAGCGUUCAUC
rnacentral:rRNA from 1 species